rnacentral:tRNA from 2 species
GAACGUGUUAUCUUAAGUCCAAGAGCACACGGCUGAUAACCGUGGGGUCGCCGGUUCAAAUCCGGCCGGGCCCA